rnacentral:rRNA from 1 species
UCGGGAAUUUUGCGCAAUGGACGAAAGUCUGACGCAGCAACGCCGCGUGAGGGAUGACGGCCUUCGGGUUGUAAACCUCUUUUGUCAGGGAAGAUGAUGACGGUACCUGGCGAAUAAGCCACGGCUAACUACGUGCCAGCAGCCGCGGUAAUACGUAGGUGGCAAGCGUUGUCCGGAUUUACUGGGCGUAAAGAGCGCGCAGGCGGUCGUUCAAGUCGCGUGUGAAAGCCCCCGGCUCAACUGGGGAGGGUCACGCGAUACUGAUCGACUCGAAGGCAGGAGAGGGUAGUGGAAUUCCCGGUGUAGUGGUGAAAUGCGUAGAUAUCGGGAGGGACACCAGUGGCGAAGGCGACUACCUGGCCUGUUCUUGACGCUGAGGCGCGAAGGCUAGGGGGAGCAAACGGGAUUAGAUACCCCGGUAGUCCUAGCCGUAAACGAUGGACACUAGGUGUUGGUGGUAUCAACCCCGCCAGUGCCGAAGCUAACGCGUUAAGU